rnacentral:lncRNA from 1 species
AAGAAAGCCAGGAAUAGGUGACCUUUUGCCCUUCUGCUCUGGGGGAGACUUCUGUCCUGCCUGAGCUUGUCCUUGUUAUGGUUUCACAGGCGUAUUUCCCCGCCCGGCCCUGACCUUGAAGCAGGCUGCGUUCCACCGAGAACCCCAGCUCUUCUGCGUCCCAGAUGGAAGACAGAGCCCACCAAGACCUACCAGCCCAUCUUCUUUGCUCCUCCUAUGGACUACCCAUAGUGCGUAGAUGUCGUCGUGUGGAUCUUGCUGGAGUCCAGUCCGUCAGGAAUGUAAACACCAGUGAUGCCUUCUGUCUCACAUUCUUUCCAGUGAGCAGAUGGAGAAGAUGGAUAGACACCGUUAGUAGGAGUAGUUUCAGGGGAGGAGUAUUGAUGAUAACUGAGAAGGGCAGAUAAAUAAAUGCGGCCGCGUAACGGAACAGAUCUGCAGCCUCAGUGACUCGCCCCCUCCUGGGUCAUUUUCUUCUAAAGAGCCCUGAUGCUUCAGCCAUUCCUUAGCGUGGGAAGGGAAGCCAAGGCCUUCCUGGACAAGGGCUACGUAAGCAGAGGCUUCUGAAGGUGUCGCUCAAGCAAAAGGAUCUUCCUGCGUCCUCCUUGCCCAAACGUGCAGUGUACACUGUCAAAGCCUUCUUGACCAUUACAGAAGUGCAUACCGGCUACCACAGCCUCAAAGGUCACAACCAGAGGUCUUUUCUUCCCGGUCUCCCUGAAAAAGUGUCUGAGGGUGACUUGGAAGAUCUUCCUGNUCACAAAGGGCCAUCAGACUCUGGACUGUCCAGCUCACCUGGCUUCUCAUUGGGUCUCUCUGAACGUUCGGCCUGAGAGUUUUCCAAAGCAACCAAAGUUCUUCUUGGCUGUGUGUUCACUUCAGGUGAAGGACAGCAGAGAGACACAAAGAUGUUUUGGUGAUCUUUAAAUACUCCUUCAAAGCAUUGUUAAAAUCAUUUUUCCUCCAUACAUGGUUCCUCCAUGACAGCUGCAUGUGACUCUCACUG